rnacentral:rRNA from 1 species
GAUGAACGCUAGCUACAGGCUUAACACAUGCAAGUCGAGGGGCAGCAUGAACUUAGCUUGCUAAGUUUGAUGGCGACCGGCGCACGGGUGCGUAACGCGUAUCCAACCUUCCCGUUACUCAGGUAUAGCCUUGCGAAAGUAAGAUUAAUCCCUGAUGACAUAUGUUUACUGCAUGGUGAUCAUAUUAAAGAUUUAUCGGUAACGGAUGGGGAUGCGUUCCAUUAGGUAGUUGGUGAGGUAACGGCUCACCAAGCCCGCGAUGGAUAGGGGUUCUGAGAGGAAGGUCCCCCACACUGGAACUGAGACACGGUCCAGACUCCUACGGGAGGCAGCAGUGAGGAAUAUUGGUCAAUGGUCGGAAGACUGAACCAGCCAAGUAGUGUGAGGGAUGACUGCCCUAUGGGUUGUAAACCUCUUUUAUAUGGGAAUAAAAAGGAUUACGUGUAGUCUAUUGUAUGUACCUUAUGAAUAAGCAUCGGCUAAUUCCGUGCCAGCCGCCGCGGUAACAC